CAAAUACUCCCUCCGUCCGAAAAUACUUGUCAAAGCAAUAGAUGUAUGUAGACGUAUUUUAGUUCUAGAUACAUCCAUUUUUAUCAAUUUCUUUGACAAGUAUUUUGGGAAAGUAUGCA
rnacentral:pre_miRNA from 1 species